UACGGAGGUGGCAAGCGUUACUCGGAAUUAUUGGGUGUAAAGGGCAUGUAGGUGGGUUUGCAAGUCGGAUGUGAAAUACCUUUGCUCAACGAAGGAAUUGCAUCCGAAACUGCUUAUCUUGAGUAUCGGAGAGGAAAGGGGAAUUCCCGGUGUAAGGGUGAAAUCUGUAGAUAUCGGGAGGAACACCAGUGGCGAAGGCGCCUUUCUGGCUGAAUACUGACACUGAAAUGCGAAAGCUACGGGAGCAAACAGG
rnacentral:rRNA from 1 species